AAACUUUCAACAACGGAUCUCUUGGUUCUCGCAUCGAUGAAGAACGCAGCGAAAUGCGAUAAGUAGUGUGAAUUGCAGAACUUUGUGAACCAUCGAAUCUUUGAACGCAAAUUGCGCCUUCUUUCGGAAGGCAUGUCUGUUUGAGGGCACCAU
rnacentral:rRNA from 1 species